rnacentral:rRNA from 1 species
AGAAACUAACAAGGAUUCCCUUAGUAACGGCGAGUGAACAGGGAUUAGCCCAGCACCGAAGCCUGUGGCCAUUUGGUUACUAGGCAAUGUGGUGUUCAGGUCAUUCCGCAGAGACAUUGCUCCACUCUAAGUCCAUCAAUGAGUACGGUAGUACAGACUUGGCCCAUAGAGGGUGAAAGGCCCGUGAGAGUGGAGAUUCAGGCAGGUCAGUGUCUCUCUGGAUAGACCUUGGAGUCGGGUUGUUUGUGAAUGCAGCCCAAAGUGGGUGGUAAACUCCAUCCAAGGCUAAAUACAAGCACGAGUCCGAUAGCGAACAAGUACCGUGAGGGAAAGUUGAAAAGUACUUUGAAGAGAGAGUAAACAGUGCGUGAAACCGCUCAGAGGUAAACGGGUGGAGUUGAACUGCAAGCCCUGAGAAUUCAGCUGGUGAGUGUGGUUUGAGCUUGGUCAAAUUGGUUGUACACUGGGGUCUGCGUAGUAGCAGGUCUCUGCCUUCGGGUGGGGAUGCGCGAGGCACUUAUCAUGUGUUGCGCGCUUCAGUUGUAUUCGGGCCUGCUCGCCAGUGCAUUUUCUCUGGGUGUUCACCACGACCGGCACUGCUGUCUGGCUGUCAUGGUUAAACCGGUCUUGCUUUGUCCUUGUGGCUUUGCUUGGUCGGGAUGGCAGGUAGCUUGUUGACUCGUCUGGGGCAACCUGGGCAAUGGGUCUUCAGGUGUAAUCAGCUGACUGUGAUGGUUCUGUGCAGUGUGUCGGAGACGGCGGCUUGUGGUAUGAACGCGCGUGCCUUGUCUGCUGGCUUGUUCGGGUUUGGUUGCUAUGUUGCUUGUUUCUGCAAGCCUAGCGAUGGCCUGGGCCUGUUGGCGGAUGGUUAUGUGCGGGAUGCUGUUCAGGGCCAAUAGUCUGUGGUGUAGUGGUAGACUUUCCACCCGACCCGUCUUGAAACACGGACCAAGGAGAGUAACAUGUGUGCGAGUCAUUGGGCGUAACGAAACCCACAGGCGCAGUGAAAGUAAAGGUCUGGCUUGUCCGGACUGAGGUGAGAUCUUGUCGUGUCUUACGCGCGGUACCACCAAGCAUUGAACGGCGAGCGCAUCACCGGCCCGUCCCAUGGCGUAGUCACAUAGGCUUUGUCCGAGUGCACCGCCG